UAUAAUCUGCUCGAUUGUUAAGGGUUAUUGGAUAACCGUGGGAAAUCUAGAGCUAAUACAUGUAAUUAAGGAUGGGUGUAAAAACCUAUUUGAGGGCAUUUAUUAGACAAUUACCAAUCGUGGGGUAAAAUCCAUGUGGUGAAUCUAGAUAACUUUGCAGAUCGUAUGGCCUAGAGCUGACGACAUUUCGAUUGAAUUUCUGCCCUAUCAACUAUUGUCGGUAGUGUAGUGGACUACCGAGGUUUUUACGGGUGACGGGGGAUCAGGGUUCGAUUCCGGAGAGGGAGCCUGAGAAACGGCUACCACAUCCAAGGAAGGCAGCAGGCGCGCAAAUUACCCAAUCCAGACAAUGGGAGGUGGUGACGAAAAGUACCGGAUGACGAUCUAAGAUUGUCAAUCUGGAAUGGAAUCAAUUUAAGCAAUUGAUUGAGAAACGACUGGAGGGCAAGUCUGGUGCCAGCAGCCGCGGUAAUUCCAGCUCCAGUGGCGUAUCUCAAAGUUGCUGCGCUUAAAACGCUCGUAGUUGGAUCACAAACUGUGCAUUGGUUGGGUUGAAAGGCAUCAUAGUUGUAGAUUGUUUGGUAUGUCAGCAUGCUAAAAAUUUACAUGAUAUGGUGUACCUUGAAAUUCAUUAGCUGGUGCAUAGUAAUUGCACGUGAGGAUAGAUGUUGGCCUUGAGUGAGCAGAUGUCUGUGUCUCACGGAGUGUGCCUUGAGUAAAUCAGAGUGCUUAAAGCAGGCUAUACGCUUGAAUGAUAUAGCAUGGAACGAACAAUCGUGUAUGUAGUAUGCUGGUAAUGGUCUUUUAGACUUUGUCUAUGAGGCGUCAGUAUACGACACCGACCACCAAUAACGGAUGUUGGUUCCGUAUUGGGGUAUAGAUUAAGAGGAGCGGUUGGGGGCAUUGGUAUUUGGCAGCGAGAGGUGAAAUUCUUGGACCUGUCAAGGACUUAACAAAUGCGAAGGCAUCUGUCCAGACCGUAUCCAUUAAUCAAGAACGAUAGUGAGAGGUUCGAAGACGAUCAGAUACCGUCCUAGUUCUCACGGUAAACUAUGCCGACCCGGGAUCAGUUUGGAGCUUUGUUCCAUGCUCGGAGUUGGUCCCCCUGGGAAACCUAAAGUUUUUCGGUUGCGGGGGGAGUAUGGUCGCAAGGCUGAAACUUAAAGGAAUUGACGGAAGGGCACCACCAGGGGUGGAGCCUGCGGCUUAAUUUGACUCAACACGGGAAAACUUACCUGGUCCGAACAUCCGAAGGAUACACAGACUAAUAGAUCUUUGUUGAUGGGGUGAAAAGUGGUGCAUGGCCGUUCUUAGUUCGUGGAGUGAUCUGUCAGGCCAAUCCCGGUAACGAACGAGACUACAUUCUCCAUUUGACGAAUAAGGUAAAGUCAUUCUGAUACUAUUGGCGCAACCAUAGGGGAAAGUUUGACUGAAAAGUGAUUGAAAUAAUUGAUUCAAUAGCAAUUGUGGUGACACGAUUGAAGGCGAAUAAAUGAUUUCAUGAACUCUCUUAAAAAGCAAUGUGUUUACACGUUGUAUCAUGGAGAGACAGCGGAACCAUAUUACAAAAUCCGAGGAAGUGUAGCUAUAACAG
rnacentral:rRNA from 1 species